GAUGAACGCUGGCGGCGUGCCUAAUACAUGCAAGUCGAGCGAACAGACGAGGAGCUUGCUCCUCUGACGUUUGCGGCGGACGGGUGAGUAACACGUGGAUAACCUACCUAUAAGACUGGGAUAACUUCGGGAAACCGGAGCUAAUACCGGAUAAUAUAUUGAACCGCAUGGUUCAAUAGUGAAAGACGGUUUUGCUGUCACUUAUAGAUGGUUCCGCGCCGCAUUAUCUAGUUGGUAAGGUAACGGCUUACCAAGGCGACGAUGCGUAGCCGACCGGAGAGGGUGAUCGGCCAAACGGGAACUGAGACACGGUCCAGACACCUACGGGAGGCAGCAGAAGGGAAUCUUCCGCAAUGGGCGAAAGCAUGACGGAGCAACGCCGCGUGAGAGAUGAAGGUCUUCGGAUCGUAAAACUCUGUUAUUAGGGAAGAACAAAUGUGUAAGUAACUAUGCACGUCUUGACGGUACCUAAUCAGAAAGCCACGGCUAACUACGUG
rnacentral:rRNA from 1 species